AACGAACGCUGGCGGUAGGCCUAACACAUGCAAGUCGAGCGCACUCUUCGGAGUGAGCGGCGGACGGGUUAGUAACGCGUGGGAAUAUACCCUUCACUACGGAAUAGCCUCGGGAAACUGAGAGUAAUACCGUAUACGCCCUUCGGGGGAAAGAUUUAUUGCUUGGGGAGGAGCCUGCGUUCUAUCAGCUAGUUGGUAGUGUAAAAGACUACCAAGGCUAUGACGGAUACCUGGUCUGAGAGGAUGAUCAGUCACACUGGAACUGAGACACGGUCCAG
rnacentral:rRNA from 1 species